GAAAGCACAAUAGUAAGUAAGAAAAAAUGUGCAUAACCAAACUAACAUUAAUUUUACAUAUUUUCCUUGAAAUAUUUACAGAGUAUAAUGCAUCUGAUUAUUCAAUCAUUCACUGUCAAUAAAUACUAAAAUAGUUUUAAAAUUAUAUUGUACAAACCCAUAAUUAUUUUCUUUUCAGGAAAAAAAAACACAUUUUCAAAACAACAUAAAACAAAACGGAGUUUAAAUAGUAAAAAAAAAAAAAAGAGAUAAUAAUUAAAAUGUGUGUGUGUGUGUGUGCAAUAACACACUCAUUAUGUUGUCUUCUGCAUUUUCUCUCUGGUUUUAGGCUACGAAAUCUGAUCACAACAUCCAGUGCCUGAAGAUUAAUUUCCCAUUCCUACAUUUCUCAUUCCUGAUCGAGUGCUGGCUAUUGAAUGCUGAAAGGUUUAACAGAUUGUGAAUUAAUUAUUUAUACUUUUCAGAAAUGUUUCUUUCUUUUCUACAGGCAUGUGCAACUAAAUAACAUUUAUUUUACACAUUUUCCUUGAGACAUUUACACAGUAUGAUAAUUAAAACAAUGCAACAUAAUCUAAACGACAACUUCUGUUCAUAAACACCUAAAAUUAUUGUAGCAUCCUGCCACAGGAUUGGCUCAUGAAUAUUAAUUGCUUAUGAUGACGUUCUCUAGAUAAUCUUCCAAUAGAGGGCCGCUUGGCUAAUGAAUAUUACGCGAUGUCCUCAUACAGGGCGAAGUCAAUCUUGACUGAGGAAAACAAAAAAGUCACGUUAGUUUAUCUUGUAAACGUGAACUAUCACAGACGUUAAAUCGGCUGCUGGAUCCCGAACGCAAGUUUGGACUGGUAACGCGCGCGCGCGCACACGCCCUUCUCUGAGCACAACAGGUAUCAGAAGAAUCAGGAAACGCCUGUGUCGUCAGACAAACUCAACCCACCAUGCACGGUCCAGAGAUUUAAAUCAAACAACGAUUUUUAAAACACGCACACCACACACAUUUUACUUUCGGACGUUCAGGAAGCUCUGAAGGAGAACGAUGGGUUCAUGCGUGUUUUCAGUGUUCAUUGGAUUGAUUUUACUGCAGAUUCACAAAAUCUCAGGUGAGUCUACAAAGAAGCAAUACCCCCAAACACGUUUUUAGCAUCCUUGUCACUGUCAUUUCUCCUUUAUUAAUAGUUUGUUAAGGUUUAAUACUCCGAGCAAUUGAAAUAUAGCCUAUAAAAAUAUAUAUAGAUAUAUUUGACAUUAAAAAGUGAUUAG
ensembl:lncRNA